rnacentral:rRNA from 1 species
ACGGAGGAUCCAAGCGUUAUCCGGAAUCAUUGGGUUUAAAGGGUCCGUAGGCGGUUUGGUAAGUCAGUGGUGAAAGCCCAUCGCUCAACGGUGGAACGGCCAUUGAUACUGCCAGACUUGAAUUACUGGGAAGUAACUAGAAUAUGUAGUGUAGCGGUGAAAUGCUUAGAGAUUACAUGGAAUACCAAUUGCGAAGGCAGGUUACUACCAGUGGAUUGACGCUGAUGGACGAAAGCGUGGGUAGCGAACAGGAUUAGAUACCCUGGUAGUCCACGCCGUAAACGAUGGAUACUAGCUGUUGGAGGUAACUUCAGUGGCUAAGCGAAAGUGAUAAGUAUCCCACCUGGGGAGUACGAACGCAAGUUUG